rnacentral:rRNA from 1 species
AUGCUUAACACAUGCAAGUCGAACGGUAACAGAGAUAGCUUGCUAUCUGCUGACGAGCGGCGGACGGGUGAGUAAUGCUUGGGAAUAUGCCUUUGAGUGGGGGACAACAGUUGGAAACGACUGCUAAUACCGCAUAAUGUCUACGGACCAAAGGGGGGGAUCUUCGGACCUCUCGCUCAUAGAUUAGCCCAAGUGAGAUUAGCUAGUUGGUAAGGUAAUGGCUUACCAAGGCGACGAUCUCUAGCUGGUUUGAGAGGAUGAUCAGCCACACUGGGACUGAGACACGGCCCAGACUCCUACGGGAGGCAGCAGUGGGGAAUAUUGCACAAUGGGCGAAAGCCUGAUGCAGCCAUGCCGCGUGUGUGAAGAAGGCCUUCGGGUUGUAAAGCACUUUCAGCGAGGAGGAAAGGGAUGUAGUUAAUAACUGCAUUCUGUGACGUUACUCGCAGAAGAAGCACCGGCUAACUUCGUGCCAGCAGCCGCGGUAAUACGAGGGGUGCAAGCGUUAAUCGGAAUUACUGGGCGUAAAGCGUGCGUAGGUGGUUUGUUAAGCAAGAUGUGAAAGCCCCGGGCUCAACCUGGGAACUGCAUUUUGAACUGGCAAGCUAGAGUAUUGUAGAGGGUAGUGGAAUUUCCAGUGUAGCGGUGAAAUGCGUAGAGAUCGGAAGGAACACCAGUGG